rnacentral:lncRNA from 1 species
UCCCUUAUAAAUUACUCCAAAUACAAACAAAACCCUCAUUAUCGCAAUUCCCCAAAUAAUAGUUUCGGCGAAAAAAUCUCUCAUAGCGUUUAGAAUCAAUCCAGAAGAAAAUUAUCUUAAAUUAGGGUUGUGGUUGAUUGUAAUAGCAAACAAGAAUCAAAAAUAUGGUAGCAAAAGCUGAUAUCGCCGUUUCGAUUGGUCUAGGGUUCUUCCACGUCUCCACGCCGUUGACAUCUAAGGGUUUUCUUGAUGCUCGCUUCUGAAUCUGUGUCCAUCAAAAUCGCUCGUUCUGAAUCGGUAUGUUUUUAGUUUUUUAUCCCUCUUUUAUGUGAUUAUGAAUUGGGUUUCGAGUAUGAUAUCUAUUAUCUAGAUUAAUACAUUUAAGACUUAGGAUUUUUGUAUCCGUUGUUAUUGACUUGGAUUUGGUGAUUAAUUUGAUCGAUUGAUAUGGAUUAUUGGCUUUUCACGUGUGUGUUAACAUCUGGGUAUUGGUUGGGGUGAAAUUGAUGUUGCCUUUGCAAAUUUAGAGUUUAUUGGCUUACCCUAUUUUUUUUGGAAUGGGUGUAGCUUGAUUAUCAAGAAUCUACUUUUCUUUUAUUUAUAUAAAUUAUUUUAACUGAUUGUUUUACCUUUUACUGAAACAUUUGAUUUUAGGAACCUUGCUUUCCUAUGUUCAAGAGUGUUAAAUGACGCAGAAGGUGCAAGCUUCACUUAAUAUCAUGCAUUUGGAUGAGUACAAUCUUUGAGCAAGAACAGAGUAAAUCAAGUAAUGUGUUCGUUUUAUGUUUACAUCAUAUUUUGAAUUUACGCUGUCUAGUGAUAGCCAAUUUGAUAGUUACAUGUUUAAAUUAUGUUAAGUUUUGUUUAUUAUUGCCUUUAAACUUGCAGAUUAUGAUGCAACUGAUACUCUUUGGAAGUUGGAAUGUUGUAUUUUUGUUUGUACACUUAGUUACUUUAAGUUACUCCGUUAUUUUACUGAAUUAUGUUUUUCUUUUGCAACAGUUUUGAGAUAUACUUGAACAACAAGCAAAUGUCUGGGUAAGUUGAUAUCACUUCUUAAAACUAAUAGCAAUUAUUUUUUUAUUAUUUAUACUUGUUGUCUUUAUUAUCAGACUUCUGUUUGUUGCUUGGUGAAACUAUUAUUCUGUCUUUAAUCUUUCCUAUAAUUUAUCAGUGAUUAAACGGAGUACAAUGGUUGAUUGGUAUUAAACUUAACAAUGGCUUUAAACUUAACAGGUUCUCUUAUUACUCUUGGUUUUGUGCAAAUAUCUAACCAAUUUUUUUUUUGAAAUUCAUAUGAACUUUAUUUCACUUUAUCAAGAUCCAUUUACUUCAUAAGUUUGUAUCAGUGAAUCUUUUGAGUUACUAUUGCACUGACCUAGAUUUGUACCUUUACUGUGUCUGAAUGAAAAAUUGGGCGGCCAUCUUACAGGUUUGAGAAUGAAAAAAUCGAGAUUUGGUAAUUUAAUUUUAAUAUUUAUUGAAUUGAAUAAAUAUUUUUCGAUGAAUUAAUUAUUAGAUUAAAUAAUUAAUUGAUGAAAUUGUGGUAGAUUAAUUUAAUUAUAUGUGUUAUAUUUAUUAAAUUAAUGUGGAGAAUUUUUUAUUAUUCGAAGUAUGUAAUUAUGUGAGCUUAUUGUAAUAAAAGAAAUAUUUAAUAAGCCUAAUAGUAUUUUAAUUAAUUUAAUAAUUAAUUAGAGAUUUAAUAAUUUGACAUUAUUAAUAAAUGAGAAAUUUAAUUAUGUGACUAUGUGGAUUUAUGAGAAAUUAUUAUAUGUUAUUUAAUUAAAUUAAAUAAGAUAUUGACUUUAUUUUAUAAAGUAGUGUGAUAUUAUUUAAACUAUUUUAUAAAGGUUUAAUUAAAUUAAUUGGAUAUAAGCCUUUAAGGCUAACCAAACGAGGCCUUAAGAGGAGUUGAGGGCAGUUAAACCACGUAUGGAGUAACUGACCUCAACUCUGCGCAUAAAGGGUCAGUUGCUUUGUUUUACGUAUUUUGCUAUUAAGUGUUCAAACUGAGAGUCAGAGAAUUUAGAGAGAGUUCAGAGAGAAUUCAGAGGAAUUGUGGGAGAAAACUCUGUGAUUGAAGUAGUAUCUGAAAAGGGAUUGUUAUCUUUACUCACUCUACGCUCUGGGUAAUUCUCUCCAACCCAAUUCUCAUUUUUUUUUCGUCAUUAAGCUUUCAUGAAAAUGGUUUCCAAUCUCUUUGUUAAAUCUCUGUAAAUGGGAAAUUGUGUUGUUAUAUGGAUAUAUGUAAUAAUAUGAUUAGCAUAACAUGUUUAAUUAUAUAUUAUAUAGGUUUCCAUAUCAUCAGUUUCAUAAUAUUAAUGUAUGUUAUGGCUUCAAAAGUAACAGAGUAUAGAAUAUGGCCAUGUGGCCCUUAUACGUGAUUUUAAUAUGUCAAACAUAAUUUUUUUUUGUAAAAUUUUCACUUGUAUAUAAUUAUGCAUGCUAAAAUGAAGAAAACAAAAUUUGAAUGGAUGGAUUUGGUGUUAUAACAAAUCUGUAGUGUUAAAAUUUUAUGUUUUUGUUCAAAACCUUCAAGAACACCAAGAACAAUGAAAUUCGCAUGUUUUAAUUUUGUAAUUAUGUGUUUUAAUUGGUUAAAAUCACUCUAUAAAUGUUGGGUAAUGAUUAUAUACGAAUUAUAACAUGUGGGUAUGUUUAAUCUGGUGAAUUCAAUGACCAUGUAAUGUUAAAUCCGCUUGUUUCUGUGUUCUUCGCGAACUAGAAAUUCAGAAAUUGGAGUUUCGCGCCGCGGUGCCAACUCCAGGCCUAAGACUCGCGCCGCAGUACCAAGACCUAGUAUAACAGUGGCGCCGCAGCGCCACUUAACAGAAUGGUCCAAAAAUGAGUUUUUAACAUGUUUAAAUUUAGCAAUGUGUUGGUAACUUAAUCUAAUUAACAUAAAAACUUGUUAGACAUAUAAUGAGGUGUUAAAAUAAAUUCUUAGCAUGUCAAUAACACAUGUACGUGAGAAUUGAAUGAUUGAAUGCAUAGUUAGCUUAUUGUUCAUGAAGUGUUAAUUGUGACAAUGAGUGUAAUAAUUUGACUAAGUAUAGUCAUGAAUUUGAGUUAGACAAAAAGAAUGAACUUGUGAUGACUAGUACGUUAUAAUUGACUGGUAUUGUGAACGUAAAUGAUAUGUAGGAUUUAAAUCAAGGAACGAGUUUAAUUAACGUGUAAUCUACGCACAAGGCAAGUUUCCUAACCUUACUCGUUAUCUUUAUAUGAGCUUAUAAGUUAUCUCUUUACAUCGAGCAAAUUCUCGUUAUUAUUGAUCAAGUCCAUUUUAUUAUAUUAAAAUGUAUUAAUCUUUCAAAGUAUGAUUCUGUUAUACAAUAAUUAUUCUAUUGUAUACCUUUUGAGAUUGCUAUUCAAUUUUAAAUUAUCAGUUACUGUUGAACUUUGUUAGACUAGUGAACCCUUAAUGAUUCGACUAGUCCAUAGUUGAUGAGCGUUCUAAAUUUCAGAACCCUUGAUGAAUUAUCCAAACCAAACUUCCUUUGGUGCGGACUCUAAUGUCAAACUGAGAUGAACAACCCUGUAUAGGGGAUUACUUAUGCGUUAGCGUUAAGAUAUUGUGCACAGUAUGGUACUAAGGGCUGAUCCCCCUAAGUACGAGAAGAAGAGUCCAUAGUCUUAUGACUGUUAAAGGUUUCAAGUAUAAACACUUGACAACCUAGGACAUAGUUCAAGGUCUUAUGACCCUCAGAAGUUCUUUUAUUUCUUGUUAUUCAUUCCUGAUUCAAAAGUUGAGUUUCCUAUUUCAGAAGUCUUUGAUUUAUUCAAAUAUUAUUAUUCAUUUGUUAUAUUAUUAUACUUGUGGGCAAUCGUGCUCACUCUUGCGUAAUAAUAACAUUGCAGUUAAGAACGAAAGAUCAGACGAGCCUUCCACUAGUAAAGGCAAGGGCAAGAUUAACAAGUAAUGAAGACUGGUUAUUUAUGUGUUUAUGUAAUGAUAUUCAGGAUUUAUAUUAUUUAAAGACUUAUUAUUUGUUUAUGAUUCCGCACAGAUGUUUAAGGUUAGAGCAACCUGGGAUUUUAUUAUUAUGCAGUUAAUGUAACCCCAUAAGGGGAGAUUUAUUUAUUAUUUCUAUCUAUUGCAUGGUUUGCAUUUAUUUAUGGGUAGAUAGAUAGAUGAUAUUUGUACAGUGAACACCAAAUCCUGUGGAAAUGGAAGUACCGGAUUUGGGGGUGUCACAGGUUGGUAUCAAAGCUGUAGGUUAUGAACCUUAGGUGGGGAAACAACCUUAGGUAGUAGCCUUGUAAGAGAUUGAGAACAUAGUAGUGGUAAACUCUUAUCGAGUUAUAAGAAAUGAAUUUCUAAAUUCAUUGAAGAUAAUAAAAGAUUUUAUGUGCUUAUGUGUUAAUCUAUGUGUUCGCUAGCACGGAUUAGUAACUAAAACUUAAAUUUUGUUGUCAGGAUGUCGGAUGUUAGAGGAGCUAGUCGAUCUGGGGAGGAGGAACCCGGAGUACCUACAGAGGAGGAGCCCCGAGACAUUCAUGUCAUCAGGGAACAGUUGGUACAGAGAAAGCCAUCUCCGUUGAUCACUGUUGUUGGUCGGGAGCAUGAGCCUGAGACCGAUCUAGAGGAGGAUUCUGAUGAAGAAGAGGAGGAAGAGGAGUUCCCACAGAACUCCAUUGAUGCUGAGAUGUAUGAUGCACUUUAUGAUCGUAACAUAGAGUUGCAAGACACUGUUCAGGAGCUGGGGAAAGGACUGUUAUGCAGCAGAGUACCAUCG